rnacentral:tRNA from 1 species
CUUGCCCGAGUGGUCUAAGGGGGCGGACUUAAGAACCGCUAGAAAAUACAGUCCUGCGUGGGUUCAGACCCCACAG